ACUGAUGCGUCAGGUAAAGGGUUGGGUGCGGUAUUGAUGCAGGAGAGUGAAGGUGAGUUAUUUCCAGUAUUAUACAUCAGUCGCAAGUUGAAGGAGAGAGAAAAGAGAUAUGCAACCAUUGAGAUAGAGUGCUUAGCGAUUGUGUGGGCAAUAGGUAAGUUUGCUCAGUAUGUGUAUGGUACCGAUUUUACUUUAGAAACGGACCAUCGAGCAUUGACAUGGCUUCAGAAAUCAAAGUUCGAAAACGCAAGAGUAACUAGGUGGGCGUUGGCUCUGCAACCCUACAGGUUUGUAUGUAAGAGUAUACAAGGCAAAGACAACCUGUGUGCAGAUCUUUUAAGUAGAUGUGGUGAUAAUGAGGAUGUGGAAUAGUAGAGCUGUCGGGUGGGAGAGAUGUAGAAACGUGAGAGUAACUUUGACGUACUGUGACUUGUGAUUGUUUAUUUGUUAUAAUUUUAUUCGGUGAAGUAAAAUUUUAAGUAGGGGUGUGUGUCACAAGUCAAGGGUACUAAUAUAAGAACCAUAUUAUAUUUUAGAACAUUUAUUGUAAAUACUUGGGUAAUUGAGAAUAUAUUGUUGAACUGUGUGUCAUAGCUUGCUACGGCAAACUAUAUUUUAUACUGUAAUCACUAGCAGAGGUGUUUGUAAAGAACUUGGGCUUGGGCUUACAUUGGUGAACACUUUUGUUUGUGAGUGAAGCAUGCAUAGUGGGGAUAUAGUUGGGAGAUGUAAUGAGUUGUGGGCAGUCACAUAACGUUCUUGAGAGAGAAACUGUGUGUUAAGAUAUUGUGAAAUAUUUUAUUCUGUAUAACUCUGGGUUGAUGACAACCUGUAUUUGUGUAUUGUGUCCUGGUGAUGACGAACGUAGAUGAUUUCUUCUGGGAGUUGGCGAAGAGUGAGUCUGGUGAAUGGCGGUGGUGAUAAUGGUGAACAGAGAAGAUGAUCAGUGAAUGAUCGUGACGACGGUGUCAAUGAUUUUGACGAACGGCGAAGGUGAUCUGUGAAUGAUCCUGACAAAGAGUGUUGCUGAUUCGGGUGAAUGAUGGUGGUAAUAAUGGUGAAUGGAGGAGAUGAUCAGUGAAGGAUCGUGAUGAGGGUACCAAUGAUUCUGGUGAACGGAGAUGAUCAGUGAAUGACCGUGACGAGGGGGUUAGUGAUUCUGGUGAACGACAGGGGUAUUAAUAGUAAACGACAACGGUGAUCAGUGAAUGAUCAUUAUGAGGUGUGAUGAUUCUAGUGAAUGAUAAUGAUAAUGGGGAAUGGUGAAGAUGAUCAGUGAAUGAUCAUGACAAGGGUGAUGAUGAGGGUGACUUAUGAUGAUGAAUUGUGAAAUGUGAUGAAUAAUGGAAGACAGACAUUUUAGUAUUAUUUUGUGGUUAAAAUAUUUUUACUCUAUUUAAUAGUGAUUCAUAGUUUAAUUUACAUGUGAUAUGUGUUACAUGCGUGAAAGUGCAAUAUGUAUUGGUUGGGAGGGAAGUGUUAUGUAAAUAAAUGUGUAUGAAUGA